GUAUGACUGGUCACGCUGAUCCCUCCUUUCUGAAGAACUGUAAUGUCAUUAAUUUGGUGUUGCAGGGAAACAGGACUGUUACUUUGAAAAAAUUAGAGUGUUUAAAGCAGGCUAACGCUUGAAUACAUUAGCAUGGAAUAAUGAAAUAGGACGUUCAAACCUAUUUUGUUGGUUUCUAGGAUUGACGUAAUGAUUAAUAGGGAUAGUUGGGGGCAUUAGUAUUCAAUUGUCAGAGGUGAAAUUCUUGGAUUUAUUGAAGACUAACUACUGCGAAAGCAUUUGCCAAGGAUGUUUUCAUUAAUCAAGAACGAAAGUUAGGGGAUCGAAGACGAUCAGAUACCGUCGUAGUCUUAACCAUAAACUAUGCCGACUAGGGAUCGGAUGAUGUUAAUUUUUUAAUGACUCAUUCGGCGCCUUACG
rnacentral:rRNA from 1 species